rnacentral:rRNA from 1 species
UACGAAGGUCCCAAGCGUUAUCCGGAUUUAUUGGGUUUAAAGGGCGUGCAGGCGGUUUGUUAAGUGCAGGGUGAAAGCUCCCGGCUCAACUGGGAGAGGUCCUUGCAUACUGGCGAACUCGAGGGAGGCAGAGGAAAGUGGAAUUCCCGGUGUAGUGGUGAUAUGCGUAGAUAUCGGGAGGAACACCUGUGGCGAAGGCGACUCACUGGACAUGUAUUGACGCUGAGGUGCGAAAGCGUGGGGAGCAAACAGG